AAUACAAACUUGUUUCAUUUAUUUGAAGCAGAAUGUGGAGGUCUUGUUUCGGCAAGUCCUUUUAAACGACACUACCUGUACGUCCUCGUGGGAUAUACAAUAUAAAGGUGACUAUGAUUUCAAUUUCUAAGGUUCUGUUCGACUGUAGCAGCUUGGAAAGAGGAAUACAUUGCGGUAGUUUUGCUUGAGUUUCGGCUCGAGUGAACAUCAAUAUUGCUUUUUGUUUCUCUGGACGGGUUGUGGCGGAAGCGCAGGAUU
rnacentral:misc_RNA from 1 species